UACGGGGGGGGCAAGCGUUGUUCGGAAUUACUGGGCGUAAAGGGCUCGUAGGCGGCCAACUAAGUCAGACGUGAAAUCCCUCAGCUUAACUGGGGAACUGCGUCUGAUACUGGAUGGCUUGAGUUCGGGAGAGGGAUGCGGAAUUCCAGGUGGAGCGGUGAAAUGCGUUGAGAUCGGAAGGAACGCCCGUGGCGAAAGCGAGCCCCUGGACGUCUACUGACGCUGAGACGCGAAAGCCAGGGGAGCGAACGGG
rnacentral:rRNA from 1 species